GACGAACGCUGGCGGCGUGCUUAACACAUGCAAGUCGAACGGACAGGCCCUGCUUUUGUCGGGUGCUCGAGUGGCGAACGGGUGAGUAACACGUGAGUAGCCUGCCCUUGACUUUGGGAUAACUUCAGGAAACUGGGGCUAAUACCCGAUCGGAGCUCCUGCUGCAUGGUGGGGGUUGGAAAGUUUCGGCGGUUGGGGAUGGACUCGCGGCUUUUCAGCUUGUUGGUGGGGUAGUGGCUUACCACGGCCGUGACGGGUGGCCGGCCUGAGAGGGUCAACGGCCACAUUGGACCUGUGUUACGGCGCGGAUUCGUCCGCGAGGCAGCAGUUGGGUAUACUGCCCGAUGGGCGGAUGCCUGAUGUAGCAACGCCUCGUGCGGGAUGCCGGCCUUCGGGUUGGGAACGGCUUUCGCCUGUGACGAAUCGUUAGUGACGGUCCUGGGUAAAGAAGCACCGGCUAACUACGUG
rnacentral:rRNA from 1 species